CCCUUAGAUGUCCUGGGCCGCACGCGCGUUACACUGAUGCAUUCAACGAGCUUAUAACCUUGGCCGAGAGGCCUGGGCAAUCUUGUUAACGUGCAUCGUGAUAGGGAUAGAUUAUUGAAAUUAUUAAUCUUGAACGAGGAAUUCCUAGUAAACGCAGAUCAUCAAUCUGCAUUGAUUACGUCCCUGCCCUUUGUACACACCGCCCGUUGCACCUACCGAUUGGAUGGUCCGGUGAAGCCUCGGGAUUGUGGUUCUUGCCGCUUUAUUGUGGCGUGACCGCGAGAACUUGUCUAAACCUUAUCAUCUAGAGGAAGGUGAAGUCGUAACA
rnacentral:rRNA from 1 species